UACGUAGGGAGCGAGCGUUGUCCGGAAUCAUUGGGCGUAAAGAGCAUGUAGGUGGAUCAAUAAGUCUGCUGUGAAAGUCGAAGGCUCAACCUUCGAAAGCCGGUGGAUACUGUUGAUCUAGAGUACGGAAGAGGCGAGUGGAAUUCCUGGUGUAGCGGUGGAAUGCGCAGAUAUCAGGAGGAACACCAAUAGCGAAGGCAGCUCGCUGGGACGUUACUGACACUGAGAUGCGAAAGCGUGGGGAGCAAACAGG
rnacentral:rRNA from 1 species